UACGUAGGGUGCGAGCGUUGUCCGGAAUUAUUGGGCGUAAAGAGCUCGUAGGCGGUGUGUCGCGUCGGCCGUGAAAACCUGGGGCUUAACUCUGGGCGUGCGGUCGAUACGGGCAUCACUGGAGUUCGGCAGGGGAGACUGGAAUUCCUGGUGUAGCGGUGAAAUGCGCAGAUAUCAGGAGGAACACCGGUGGCGAAGGCGGGUCUCUGGGCAUUAACUGACGUGGAGGAGCGAAAAGCGUGGGGAGCGAAACAGG
rnacentral:rRNA from 1 species